GGUCUAUUAGUCUAGUUGGUUAGGACGUCGGAUUCUGAUUAACAUCAGUACCUUCCGUAAGCCCAGGUUCGAAUCCUGGAUGGACCU
rfam:Colletotrichum gloeosporioides Cg-14 contig04831, whole genome shotgun sequence.